AUUGAACGCUGGCGGCAGGCCUAACACAUGCAAGUCGAGCGGAUGAAGGGAGCUUGCUCCUGGAUUCAGCGGCGGACGGGUGAGUAAUGCCUAGGAAUCUGCCUGGUAGUGGGGGAUAACGUCCGGAAACGGGCGCUAAUACCGCAUACGUCCUGAGGGAGAAAGUGGGGGAUCUUCGGACCUCACGCUAUCAGAUGAGCCUAGGUCGGAUUAGCUAGUUGGUGGGGUAAAGGCCUACCUAGGCGACGAUCCGUAACUGGUCUGAGAGGAUGAUCAGUCACACUGGAACUGAGACACGGUCCAGACUCCUAAGGGAGGGAGCAGUGGGGAAUAUUGGACAAUGGGCGAAAGCCUGAUCCAGCCAGGCCGCGUGUGUGAAGAAGGUCUUCGGAUUGUAAAGCACGUUAAGUUGGGAGGAAGGGCAGUAAGUUAAUACCUUGCUGUCUUGACGUUACCAACAGAAUAAGCACCGGCUAACUUCGUG
rnacentral:rRNA from 1 species